rnacentral:tRNA from 2 species
GGGAAGUAGCUCAGUUGGUAGAGCAUCACGUUCGCAACGUGGGGGUCGUGAGUUCGAAUCUCAUCUUCUCC